CAAUUCUGCUUGAAAAAGAUUCUUGCUUGUAGCAAAGUUUGGGCUUUCUCCCCAUGACUUGGAUCGUCUCUGGUAGAUCUUCUACUGGGCUAAUCAGCGAACACAAGGACAAGUUGUAGUUCAUGAGGCUGGUCCCAUGUUGCCAGAUGAGGGGGGAGGUGCAGCUCAGUGGCUUCACGCCAAUCUCCUGACUGCGGUUCAGCUCCCGCACGGCGCUCACCACCACGUGAACAGCAUCAAACAUCAGGGCAGAUGACAGCUAGGCAUGAGAUAAAUGAAUAAGUCCUGGGUAUGGGUUGAUGCUGCACCCUUCUUUCCACGACAGGUUCAGGCUCCUGAUGAAAUCCAGGUAGAAAGGAUGGGAAAUGUUCAACAUGGAGAAACCAACGAUGUUG